CAAACUUACUCUUCUCCCUGUGUUAUUUUUAUCUCAGUGGCACCAAGAGUCUGCCAAGCUUGAAAGCUGGAAGUCACCACUGAUUCCUCCCUCACUCCAUCCUCACUCUGUUCACUAAAUCCUGUUGAAUUCACCCAGAUGGUCAUUCACAGAAAACCCCACUACUAUUGUCCCUAGCAACUUACCUUCAGUGUGGCUGUCUCACUUCUGACAAAAGAAAAGAAAAUCAACAAUCCUUCGUUGGGCUCAAAAUAAAGUUCAGAGUCCUUAGUCUGGCUACAGGUCCCUUCAAACCUGGCCCUUGUCUCCCUCACCAGUGUCACAUCCAACCACUUGUCAUCAAUACCUGAGCUCUAGUUCAUACAAGGGAGACUCGAGAGCUGGACCGCAGUUUGAGGUGAAAGGACCAGAGGAGUAGAGGCACCGAGAGCCAAAUCUGAGGCCGAAUCAGAGGUCUAGGAUGUUAACUGAACAGAAAGUAAAGGAAACUGGCCGAAGCGGGGGUUUCAGGCAGUUGGCUUCCAGCAUCUUCAGGCGGUUGGCUACAAGAACAUCAAAGACCAACAUUUGGGAAGCACUCAGGGACAAGACAUCCGGAGGCUUGGAUGCAAGACCAAAGGUGUAGUUGAUGGGAGGUAGUUCCCCAGGACAGGCCCCCGAGGACUGACAGAUGGGAGCUUAAGGACAGGACCCCCAACCAGUAGAGAAAUGAGGUUCCCGAACAGCC
rnacentral:lncRNA from 1 species